rnacentral:lncRNA from 1 species
UCGGAGCAAGCUGCAGCCUGGACACAAGCUAGAGAUUAAUCAGUCAGGAAUGAUCCUGCGUCCAGUGCCAGCACGAUGGAAGAGACAGAGAAACAGAAGACAUCAGGGCUCCAGAGUCAAGGAGCCUGCAGAGAAAGCUCUGCAAACUCAAGCUGGAGUGGGAUACUUGCUGACUUCUUCAAGCACCCCAGGAAUAGCUCUACUCCCCCAUUUCCACCUUGGCUGAACCAUCUAUAUCCCACCAAUUCCCCCAACAUCCCUCCAUCCGUCCAUCCAUCCACCCAAGGACCUGCUAAGCCAGGAGGUCUCUCCCAUCUACCCCGCAGCCUGGCCUCAGCCCCCAAGGGCUCUCUCUACAUGAAUCCCACCGCACCAGAGAAGACCAAGUCUCCCGUAGACUCCACCCUGACCACCUCCAUGCCUCCAGCCAUUCCCACCCCUAAAAACCCUCCCUGGUCUCUACACCCAGCUGAUGAAUACUUGGCUGAAUGUGACCUGGCCUCCUGAACCCAGGUGAAGCCCACGUCCUCCGUGAGCCCGCCAGCUCACCCUGCCUCUGCACCUUCACUGGAGAGAGCCCGCACUUCACCUCCUCAGGGCAGGCAUGGCUGAUGCCACCCAGUGGAACCUGGUGCAGAGCAGGGCCCAGUGCAGAGCAGGGCUGCCUGCAGAGCAAGGCCCGGGUGCUGGGGCCGAGCACCUCCAAUGCUGGCCGUGGACCCAUCCCUCCCAUUCCAGGUGCUGUCUCCAUCAAGAAUGAGCGAGCUGCUGACAUUUGCA